rnacentral:lncRNA from 1 species
CAGAGUAAUUCAUACAUUACAGAGGAAUUCAUACUCUUCAAAUGCCCAGAAUUCCCAUAAUGUGUUCAUCCAAAUUUGCUGUCAAAGUCUAAGGCAAUAAAACAUCUCUUAGCUUCCCCAUUAUUCUAUUGUCUUUAAGUCAUGAUUAGCAUCUUUAUCUAAUACGCCAUCCAAGAAGAAUCUUUUUAUAGAAAGAAGACGGCGCUUUCUACUGAUUUUACUUACCUGCGGCAAUAAAAAACGUUUUUCUCUUUUAAUCAGUCAUUGGUUUGGAGGUAAGGCAGAGUUAAAAUUUUUUUUUUUUACAAGUUCUCUUUCUUAAUGCUAAAUAUAUUAAGCACACUCUGGUUUUCAAGAAGCUUCCUGGCCAUGACUUUGGGGGAAACAAAGUGAGAACACAUCAUUUUUCUUUUCUUUUAAUUAAAGUUUUAAACAAAAAAUUUGAGAGGAAAAUGGAACAUGCUAACCUAACGACAGCUUUUUCCUUUCUUCCUUUUCCCAUGUCUGGGCAGUGCUCUCCUAUCAGCUAGGUGUGCUGGGAUUUGGCGAUGCUGCACUAAUUAAGAAGCUUCCAAACCGCUGGAAAAAAUAAAAAAAUAAAAAGCCAAAAAAAAAAAAAAAAAAAGAGGGCGGGGAGGGGGGCAAGAUGGGGCUAGACUAAAUGUGUCAACAAUCAGAGUAAUCUAUUUUCAAAGAUAUCAUUUCUGCGACGACAGUCAUUUUGCCGUUGGACCGUGAGGUCCGUUCCGCUGGCGGGGGUGGGGGCAAGAAGUGCUUAGCUCGUCAACGAUCAGGCGUUUGGAUCGACCCAGGCAGACCUGCGGCUGGGAAGACGGGCGUGCGGGGACCCCGUUUCCACUCUUGGGAAGAGGAAACCCGAUGGCCACAGCGGAGGCCCGCUGCCCCGAGGUCAACUGGUCCUCAGGUUCUGUUGCAAAAUGUGAAAAUGAAGGCGAAGUCCUCCAGAUCCCAUUCAUUACCGACAACCCUUGUAUAAUGUGUGUCUGCUUGGUAAGUGUGGAGAUCAGGUAAUAUGCACUCAACUGCUCCCUCUGACAAGGUGAAUCCAUUAAAUGUAGUAAUAUAAUCAGACCUUAAAAAUUGUCUUUAGUCCUUACAAAGCUGCACAUAGUAGGUACUCAGC